AGAGUUUGAUCAUGGCUCAGGAUGAACGCUAGCGGGAGGCUUAACACAUGCAAGUCGAGGGGCAGCACGAGAUAGCAAUAUUUUGGUGGCGACCGGCGCACGGGUGAGUAACGCGUAUGCAACCUACCCUGUACAGGGGGAUAACCCGGAGAAAUUCGGACUAAUACCCCAUAAAGAUAUGAAGAGGCAUCUUUUUAUAUUUAAAGUUCCGGCGGUACGGGAUGGGCAUGCGUAACAUUAGCUAGUUGGCAGGGUAACGGCCUACCAAGGCUACGAUGUUUAGGGGACCUGAGAGGGUGAUCCCCCACACUGGUACUGAGACACGGACCAGACUCCUACGGGAGGCAGCAGUGAGGAAUAUUGGUCAAUGGGCGCAAGCCUGAACCAGCCAUCCCGCGUGCAGGAAGAAGGCGCUAUGCGUUGUAAACUGCUUUUCCAGGGGGCGAACCUCCCGCACGAGUGCGGGACUGACGGUACUUUGGGAAUAAGCAUCGGCUAACUCCGUGCCAGCAGCCGCGGUAAUACGGAGGAUGCGAGCGUUAUCCGGAUUUAUUGGGUUUAAAGGGUGCGUAGGCGGACUAUUAAGUCAGUGGUGAAAUCCUGCAGCUUAACUGCAGAACUGCCAUUGAUACUGAUAGCCUUGAGUUUGGUUAAGGUAGGCGGAAUGUGUAAUGUAGCGGCGAAAUGCUUAGAUAUUACACAGAACACCAAUUGCGUAGGCAGCUUACUGAGCCGACACUGACGCUGAGGCACGAAAGCGUGGGGAUCGAACAGGAUUAGAUACCCUGGUAGUCCACGCCGUAAACGAUGAUUACUCGCUGUUGGCGAUACACUGUCAGCGGCUAAGCAAAGCAAUAAGUAAUCCACCUGGGGAGUACGGGCCGCAAGGUGAAACUCAAAGGAAUUGACGG
rnacentral:rRNA from 1 species